UACCAGACUCCUACGGGAGGCAGCAGUCGGGAAUAUUGCGCAAUGGAGGAAACUCUGACGCAGUGACGCCGCGUGCAGGAAGAAGGUUUUCGGAUUGUAAACUGCUUUAGACAGGGAAGAAAGAAAUGACGGUACCUGUAGAAUAAGCUCCGGCUAACUCCGUGCCAGCAGCCGCGGUAAUACGGAGGAUCCGAGCGUUAUCCGGAUUCAUUGGGUUUAAAGGGUGCGUAGGUUGUUUUAUAAGUUAGCGGUGAAAUACCGAUGCUCAACAUCGGGGCUGCCGCUAAUACUGUAGGACUAGAGAUCGGAUGCAGCAGGCGGAAUGUGUAGUGUAGCGGUGAAAUGCAUAGAUAUUACACAGAACACCGAUUGCGAAGGCAGCUUGCUAGGCCGGAUCUGACACUGAUGCACGAAAGCGUGGGGAUCGAACAGGAUUAGAUACCCCAGUACAC
rnacentral:rRNA from 1 species